rnacentral:rRNA from 1 species
AUGAUAUUCGAUGAAUGCUCGGACGAUGACGAGGUCUAUGUGAAACUAUGGACCCGUUUUGCUGUCAUGUCCAAAGUCCGUGCGCUCACCCUUCAUAUCCAAGCCCCUCCAUAUCUGUGGUUCGACGUCCUGCCUCUUGUCUCUCGGCAUCUGAGAACAUUAGAUCUGGAAGGUCUAUGCGUACAACUGAGCUUUCUUGAUUUUGCUGGCUGCCCAGCACUGGAGGAUCUGAAGAUGAACCUUUGUGACAUUUCUGUUGAGAAGAUAUUGUCUCGUUCCCUGAAGCAUUUGAGCAUUACUAAGUGCUGCUUCGAUUGCCAGCUCCAUGUUUCUACUCCAGGCCUUGUCUCUCUGAAAUUAGAUGACCUUACCGGCACAACUCCUUUUCUUGAAAACAUGGCGUUGUUAGAGACAGCAUAUGUUUAUCUUGGCGAUUCCUGUGAAGAUUUUUUGAAUUAUGACUCUGGUGUUUACUGUGGACCUAGUAAUAUUACAUGUGAGAAGUGUGAUCUUUUUAAUGAAAAUUGUGGAAGCGUUCUUGUGCUUCUAGGUGGUAUCUCUAGUGCUAAACAUCUGAAGUUGAUAUCUGAAUUUGGAAAGUUCAUUUUCUCAAGAGAUUUGAAAUACCGCCCUACGUUUAGUAAGUUAAAGACAUUAUUACUCAAUGAGUAUUGGUGCGAGGCUCCUGGCUUGGAUCCACUAGUUUGCAUUCUGAAAAACUCACCAGUUCUAGAGAAGCUCACUCUUCAACUUUUUUCCAAGGGACCAAAUCAUAAAGUGGAAAUGAAAGGAAGCUUCAGUUCAAUGGAAAGAUCGUCUGCAAUACCAGAACACCUUAACAUAGUUGAAGUCAAGUGUACUGUGGUGGACGAGAGGAUUCUCAAAGUUUUGAAGUUCCUGUGUGCAUUUGACAUACGAUUCAGCUUCUAG